rnacentral:lncRNA from 1 species
AACGACAAAAAAGCUCAAGGCAGGAACAGCAGCCCAGGGACCUGAGACCAGCGUUCUCAAAUGAAGCCAGAUCUGCUGUUAGAGGAGAAUUCUUCUGUCCUAGCUGUGUCUCUGUGAUCUGUGGAUGAGGGUGGGAAAGCACCACUCAGUCAAUUGGGGUGUACAAAAUGGAGUUUGAGAAGGUCUCACAUCCAGGUUGUUUUGAAGCAAAGUCCAAGCAUUGUAUCACUUCAUCUGCAAAUAUUUCAAUAAGUACCCAAAAGGUCCAGAUUGACUGCAAGAACAAAUCAGCAAUCCUGAGAGGACCCACAGGCCCUCUGAAGGAAGCAGACUACUCCUGCAGGACCUGGGAGAUACCCUGAAUACUUGGUUGGACUGAGUCCCAUGAAGCCAGAUCACUUCUGACUGCAAGGAGCUUGGAAAAGCAAGUAUCUGGAUCUUUUACCAGCUAAAUUUGGAGCGAUGAGGCUUCCUCUUUGAAGAUCACAGGUGAGAAGAUUAGGUGCUUUCUCAGAAGCCCAGCAACCUGAUGGGAGUGUGGAGUGAGCAAGACCCAAAUCGGAGCUUCAUCCCUGCAUGGUUCAUUUUGCUUAUUUGGCAAACUUGCCCUGCAGGUGAAAACAUUGGAAUCUUGUGAACCUCAACCUGUGUUUUACAUAUGUAUACAUGAAGCAUCCAAUGGCAUUACACCUCAGCCAGAGAAGAAGCUCUUAAGAGAUCAGGUGCCUCAUUUCACCCAUGGGCUGCUCCAGCAUUUCCAGCCUCCUCACUCCUGACACAUACAGGCACGUGCUCUCUGUGGAGUCUUUGCACUUCUCCUUUCCUUCCUGAAAUGCUCUUCCCCUGGGUGUCUUCAUCCUACCUCCCUCAACUCUUUCAUCUUGUUUAAAAAAUGUCAUUUUCUCAGUGAGAACUUCCUUGUCUUAUUCAGUUUGGGCUUCUCUAAUAAAAAUACUAUAGA